AAUUGCGGUGAACAUUUUGAAGUCAUUGAGGACGUCAAAACCACCAUGAAAAGACACUCGGGAAAGUGGACUCCGGAACCGCUUCGGAAAGUGGCCAGAUUGAUGUGGCUUUGGAGCCACCUCUGCGUGCCUGGGAAAGGCUGUAGAAGGGGAAGCCAUACCUACUGUCAAAGCUCCUGACCAUCCUGAUCAACAGCAGCACACCCAAUGAAUCAGCAACUGGGGUCUCACAUUACUAAAAAGUUUUGCACUUCAAAAGAAAUCACCAGCAAAGUGAAAAGAAAACCCACAGAAUGGGAAAGAAUUUGAGCUGACAAUCCCUCAGACCAAGGACUUGCAUCCGGAACAUAAAAAGUUUUGAAAAACAUCAAGCCCCCAAAAUUCAAAGACCCUCUCCAAAAAUGGGCAUCAGAGAUAAUUAUACAGUUCUCAGAUGAAGACACACGAAUGGCAAAUAAACACAUGAAGAAAUGUUCACCAUCACUUACAACAGUGAGAUAUCAUCUGUUGUAGUCAGGGGUUGUGCAGAGCACAAUUAGAAUCAGGACAUAGGGGCUGGGGAUUUAGCUCAGCGGCAUAAGCGCCUGCCUUGCAAGCAGGCAGUCGUGAGUUCGAUCCCUGGCACCGAUAAAAACAAAAAAGACAAACAAAAAAAAAAUCAGGACAUGGAGCUUAUAAUAUGGUUUUAUGAUGGUUACCCAGAGUUAACACAAGAGACUGCAGGAAAUCCAUCCGCAAUGCUAAAGACAUAGAAUAUUUAGCCAAGGGCCUAAAUCCCACAGCAAUGUCCGACACGAGUCCAGAUGAAGACCAGGAGCUCAUGACAGUGCCUCCCACGAGUCCAAUUGGAGGUCCAGAGCCCAUAAGAAGGACUCACACCAGCCUCUUUUACAAAUCCGUGCUGGGAAGACCCAAAGGCCAGUGAUGGAAGCUAGGAAGUCCAUGCCAGCGGGGUGAAGGAGCUGUGCUGGUGGGAUGAGGUUUCUACACUGGAGCUAAGAAGUCACACUCACAACAAAGACCGGGCUGUCCUGAAAGGCACCAUAGCCAUCCUCAGCGACACAGAGGCCCCGAGCUCCUCCUCUGACAAGCACUUUUGGGUACAUGCCAGGAAGCCAGUGUGAUGAGUUCUUCCUGGAGAUCAAGAGGCACACAUCUUCCUCUCCACAGCCAGGAAUGCUCGAUGUGAGGACCAGAGCUUCUCUGGGAGAACCAACGGCUCAAACAGCAACACAUAGGAGAACCCACAAUGCCUCAGCACCUCAAAGAUUUAACGCAUAGCUUCUUCUUCCCUGUUUAUGCUGGCAACUUUCCUCAGGUGGAACAUUUAUGCUCAGCACCCUGCUGAUUUAAUUCAGCUGGUGUUAAGUUUAUCACCAGUUUUUAACCCGUAACAUCAUCUUACCCCGGAAAGAAUGGCUGCCAUCAAGUUAUCAACUGAUAACAAAUGUCAGUGAGGCUGCAGGGAAAAAGGAACAGUGCUCCACUGUUGCUGGAAGUGUAGACUGGUGCAGCUGCUGUGGAAAUCAGUUUGGAGACUCCUCAACAAACCAGGAUUGGAAGUUCCAUUCAAUCCAGCUAUUCCCUACCUGGGUAUUUUCCCAGAAAAACUGAAAAGGUCAUAUCACAGUGAUAGAUGUGCACCAAAGUUCAUAGCAGCACAAUUUGUAGCUAAAUCUUGGAAACAACCAAAAUGUUCAUCGACCACAAAAUGGAUGAAAAAGAUGUGGUAUUUUUAUCCAAUGGAAUAUUACUCAGCUAUAAAAAAGGAUGAUCUUGGGGCUUUUAUAGGUAAAUGGAGGUAAUUUGAGACUGUUUCCAUAAGUGAAAUAAAUCAGAUUCAUAUUUGUAAUAUCAUACUGUCUCUCUAGUGUAAAAAAUAAUAAAAACUGAAAGAGCAAUAAGAUCCAAAAUGUAUAAUAGAUAUUGUAAAAAUUAAAGGGAAGGAACGUGCUCUAAAGGAUAUAACUAUGUUUAAGUGUGUAAGAUAGAUGACCAUAUUACUAAAUUUUCAUUGGAUCAUUGAACAGAAGGGUUUGCACUGUCAGUGUUUGAGUGUCUAUCACUUCUUAUGCUUUGAUUUUGUAACCUGAACAACUAUUUCUAAGAUGACAAUAUGUAAUAUAUCAACUAGCAAUUUCUUAGUGUUAAUUUUUUUGAAUUCUGUAUUAUUCUACAUUUUUUCUAUUUUGUUUUUUCUUUCUUUCUUUCUUUAAAUAAAAAAAAAGAGCAGCACACCCACAAAGGAGCUUCCUCCCAA